GACGAACGCUGGCGGCGUGCUUAACACAUGCAAGUCGAACGGAAAGGCCCUGCUUUUGUGGGGUGCUCGAGUGGCGAACGGGUGAGUAACACGUGAGUAACCUGCCCUUGACUUUGGGAUAACUUCAGGAAACUGGGGCUAAUACCGGAUAGGAGCUCCUGCUGCUUGGUGGGUGUUGGAACGUUUCGGCGGUUGGGGAUGGACUCGCGGCUUAUCAGCUUGGUGGUGGGGUAGUGUCUUACCAAGGCUUUGACGGGUAGCCGGCCUGAGAGGGUGACCGGACACAUUGGGACUGAGAUACGGCCCAGACUAAUACGGGAGGCAGCAGUGGGGAAGAUUGCACAAUGGGCGGAAGCCUGAUGCAGCAACGCCGCGUGCGGGAUGACGGCAUGCGGGUUGUAAACCGAUGUCGCCUGUGACGAAGAGUGAGUGACGGUAAUGGGUAAAGAAGCACCGGCUAACUACGUG
rnacentral:rRNA from 1 species